rnacentral:tRNA from 1 species
UCCUUGAUGGCUCAGUUGGUAAAGAAUCCACCUGCAAUGCAGGAGACCCUGGUUCAAUUCCUGGUUUGGGAA